CAGCUUGCAAUGCUUUGCUUUAACUGGCUGUGCCACCAGGAAGGGCCCAAGACCAGCAUAUUUUAAAAGUGAACUAGUAAAGAAGAGAAUAUUGCAGGUAACAAAGUUGAAUAUUGUUUACUGAAAAUUGUUUUAUAUACUUUAUAACUGUGUGUACUGGGUCCUGAUAUAAAAGGUUAUUUCCUGUUGAGAACGAAUUUUUUUUUUUAAAGCCUUGAAAAUCACUAUGAGACACGAGCCAUCCAGUAAUUGUUAGAACAUUUGGAUGGUAUGGGGCUUGCCCUUGAAUAAGGAGCAGCAGGCUCAUUACUCAGGGGGUCUUCAGAUUUUGAGUACCACCUUCUUUGAGAAGAUAGGGUAGCUUCAAUUUUGGUUUAUAACAUGUUUUCCUUUCCUGGUGUGUAUCUGAUACCCCAAUACCUGUGUAUCAGCGUUCAACUCAUACCAGGUAUCAGUGGGACUAGAGAAAGCUUUAAAAAAAUUGAUCCACAAACACUACUCAAAAGAGCAUGACAGGAUAUUAUUUAUCUAGAUGUAUUUCAAUCUUUCUCCCACUAAGCAUUUUACUAAUAUUAGGACUAAAGUUCUCCUUUUAAUAAGUGAGUUGAAUUUAUUGUGUUUAGCUUCAGUUUGAUUAACCAUACAGGUGACAAAGGCCCUUAAAAAUGAUGAAAUGACUAUAGAGUAGUGCAUUCUUGUAGGGCCUAUAUACUCAUUCUCUAGAGGUGCUACGCAACUGUCAAUGCACUCUCACCAUGAAGAAUUGGAUUGCCUCAUUUCUAUAGGAUCUAAGUAGAAAAUGUAGACCACCUAUGUGUAUUCUUUAUGCAGGCAUUAAUACAAAAUUUAUUCAGUCUGCUUUUCUUUGGUGCUACCCAGUAAUUUUUACUUCGAGCGCCUUUAACAAAUUAUAACAGGGGACCAUUCAAAUUCCUGACCAAUCCCUUGAAAUAUACUUUUGAAAUUACUCAUUAUUGAUACUAGUCUAAUCAAGGUAAUAAUCCUUAAAAUGCUCAUGAUUUUUAGAAUCUUUGCUUUCAAAUGUUGAUUUGUACACCUAUUAGCAGAUUUUUCUUCAUGUUGCUUUUCUUCCUACCACAGCUAGCCUAAGUUUAUAUUUGUUUCAGGGCUAUCCUAAAAACAGCUCAGCAUUUAGACUGAUUAAGAUACCAGAUUCUACUCUACUCCAUCACAAACCUCUUUGUAUCUUUAAUUGAAUUUUUUUUUUUACUUUCUCAUUUGUAAAGUAAGUUACUCCAUGUUAUUGUAAAGGUUUGCUUUAGAAUUACAGAUGAGGUCUUUUUUUAAAAACUUAUAACAUUUUCAAGAAAAAAAAGAAAGCAAUACUUUAUUUUAGUUGUCCAGAGAACUACCUAGGAUAUGUAACAUCAAAUUUUAUAGGUUAAUAUGAGUAUAUUUUUAAAGUUUUUAUUACUGUAUACAGAUUCAAAUUGCUACAAUUUAACAAAAUGCUUUGAUACCUAUCUAUUGCAUUGACAAAUCCCUGUGACUGAAAACCUAUCACUUAGUAUUAUUGCUCUAAAAUUUAUUGUGUUCUUUCUACUGAUCUCCUUGUAACAAGAACCCUGGUGAGAGCUAUGUAAUAAAAAGUGUAGUUAAAUAGAACAUGUGGAAUAGGCCCUACAUAUUCUUACUGCUGGAAGCCAUCAUAACAGUUGGCUUCCUCAAAGCUCCCAACUUGGGGAUAGAAAAACAUUCAGAUGAAAGUGUAAAUUACAUUGAAAUGUUCUCACUAUUAAUAAUUUUAUAACUAUAAUCAGAAACUUACAGAAAUUGCAUCCAGGAUUUGUUACAAGGUCAGAUACAUUGUUAAACUUUUAAUGGUCAGUCUCUGUACAUGAAUAUGUGUAUUACUUACAUGAAUUUUUCAGGGAAUGUGCACUUUAAAAAUACGCCCUUAUUAGUUUUUGUAGUGAUCAAAUAGUGCUGCUUUAUUGGAAUAACUCCUUCCCUUUCAUGUUUCUUAUGCCUCUUAUAUAGACUCCUCACCUUAUUUCCUGUUCCACAGUCUCUGCCUUUGUUUUGUGGAUUCUGAUAAGAUAAUAUAUGAAGACAAAUGUUUACAGUGAAUUGUUUCCUCUUGAAAUUGACUCUAGUCUUUAUUUUUCCCCUGAAAAUUAGUUGGCCAUGCUGAGUAAUUACUAAUUUUUUAUAAGUAAGAAUUAUUUCUUGCUAUGGUAUAAUUAGAUUGCUUAGCAUGAUGACUGCCCCAUGUAACAGUGUGUAUAUAAUUUUGUCAAAUAAAUUGAGUCUAACAAACUUUCUGAUCUCUAAUCUGCCUCUCUUCUAAGUUGUUGGACAGAACUGGAAACAUUUCCCAUAAACCUUCCCUCAGCUGUCUCAUACCCUCUUUUGGUUCUUUGUAAGUGUGUUAGUAGAUAAGUUGGCCAAGAUCCUGAUCUUUCAGAGCAGUCAACAUCCAACCCAGUAUAAUCACUGCUGACCAAAAAGCUUUGAGUGGUAAUAUUUAGUGAAUUCUUAAGCACCGAAACUGUGCCUCUCAACCUCUGGAAACUUUGAAUAGCUCACUUCAAUAAAUAGUAAGUAUAUUUUUAGAUUUUUUUUACUUGUAGAGUUAAUACUGGAAGUAUAAAAAUUUUCCAGUGAAAAAUCCACACUUUUUAAAAUUUCCCUGAUUGCUGAUUAGCUUGGGUCCUUUUGAUAUGCCACUUGGAAUGAUUAGAAGUAAUCUGUGACUUGGAAUGCCUGGUAUCCCACUCCCAGUCCUCAGAGUUGUCUGUCUUGAUGUUGAUGUUUCUAGAUAUCCUUAAGAGAGCUGCUUUCCUGUAUCUGUUCUUUUGUGCAAAAUUGUCUUGGCUAAUAUGGACCUUUACUGUUCCAGAUAGAUCUUUAAUAGUACUUUGUCAGGUUCCACAAAAACUGUUGCAUUUGCAUUCAUGUUUUGAGUGAAGGUUAGUUUUUAAAGGCUUAAUGUUGCUAUGGUUAGCAUAAAACUAUAAGCAUAAUUCUUUUCUAGCAUUGAUGAUGAUCUUUUGAAUAGUUUAACACUUGGAAGUGUUUAACUGUAACUAUCCUAACUGAUAAGAAAACUUAAGUGUCCGUACAGGAAUGCUCACAGUUUGUUGUAUACAAUUGUGUUAACUGGAAAUAAAGUCUCAAUGAUAAAGUGAUGAUUCAAGUCCAAUAAACAGUUUGACAGAUUUUACCUUGUUAGAACUAUUCCAGUAAACCUAAGUUUGAGUUUUUAUUGGUAGGAAUAGUGAUACAAAAAAGGGAGGUCAUAACAUAAGUUAGCGUGGAAAGUCUGAUUUUUCAGAGCACUUCUGUCUCUAUCCGGACUAUGUCAGUCGAUAGAGGUUGCAUAGCUUGUGCCAGUGACCCAUAGCCAUUAAGAGAGUAAUAAUACUUGAUUGGCAGGACUUCUAGUUAUAGCUGUCCUUACUUAAAGAUAUGCUGAUGCUAAAGGAAGGCAAUGCAAGAUUGAAUCUCCUCUGAAGAAUGCACUGCAGAGAUACAAAGGCUGGGUUCCCAUUGUUAAAUCUUUAUCUGGCUCCUUGGUCAUCAGUGGAUAUUGCCUUUAUCUUCAGGUAGCUGGCUUCCUGUAUAGGUUGAGAGGAUGGAAACUUCAGACUUUUCAGUCUGUAAUGAUGACUUUGCACUUUUGCAUUAUACAGCAGGGAUGGAAGGAGGAGUAACACCAGAAUAUUUUUCAAGAUAUUCAUGUCACUGAUCCGAAUUCAAUUUGUACUCUGAUUGGAGAGGGAUCAGUUUGGCAAUCCACAAUAGUCACUACUGAGACUGCAUAUCCGGGAAGACUGGCAGAAACCAGUAAAAGAAGUUGUUUUGCUUUGGCAGAAGUGUUAACAGCAGAGACAGUCAUACCAUUGGACUGGGUAUGUAUUCAUAGAACUGUAAGGAAAAUUUGAAUUCAUAAAACUGAUAAAAGAGGAAAGUCACUAAGGAGUACAUAGGAUUGAAUGAACUGAUGAGAAUGAUCAUAAUUUUUACUUUAAAACAUUGAUGAUUUGAGUGUGCUGUUUUUCUAGAUUUAAGGAAAUAUUUUUACUUUAUAAGCUAUAUAAAUGAAACACCAGUUUGGUCAAGUAUAUCUUUGUGAAUAACAUGGAAGAAUUACUUUUUCUCCCUACCUAAUUUGGAAAGUCUUAGUAUUCUUAGCUAAGAAACUAUGUUUAUAUGUACACAAAUGCAAUAAAGAUCUGUUAUCCUUGUACCAAGAAAUAUUGGUUUGAUUAGAAGGGGCAUAGAAUCAUGUAUGAUCAAAUAGUUUUUAAAAAAUAAAAGCUAAGAUUGAGUUUCUGGAGCUAAUAAAGCCUCUUGGAAAAACUACCUGGUACGUUGAUCUCUUAUAGGCUUUUUGGCAGACUUACCAGGUGGGUAAGGAUGGGAGGGGGGAAUUAACUAACCCAAAUGUGUAAAAGUUGCAGCAAAGCAGAUUGAAAAGAACUCAUGUUAUUCUUUGCUACACUUCUGUCAAUACUAAGAUUUAUUUUGCAAACAACUUUGCUUUACUGUUAUUACCUUUGGUAAAAAAUGGGGGUGAUUGUAGAGCAGACAGUGUUUCAGUAGAAACUGUAAUAUACCUUUGUAGAUAUCAGAUCUAGACUUUUUAAAUUUGAGGUCUUAUCUGUAAAUUUUAUUAGAUUCUGAACUCAAAGUUCUUCAGACUCUAGCUACAACUUGAUACAAACUUUAGAGAAAUGUCCACAACAGCUUAAUCUUGAGACAGUACCUUUUUCUGUGUAAGUCACUCAAUUUUUAUCUGAAAAGCAAGUAACAUCAGUGGCAAGAUAAUUUGAUCCCAACAUCUAGAAGCAUUCUGACAGCCCUCAGGACUUAGGCUGUGUUUAUUAUAUGUCCCAGCCAGUACCUUUGUUUUUGUUUUCACAGACAUGACCUCAUAUUGAAUACCUGAUUUGCUCACCAUAGAGCCUUCACUGGGAGCAUAUGCAAUACUGCCAAUGAAACCAGACAUACUGAUGUACUUUCAACACUAAGAGCCUGCCUGCAUGAUGGACUUGGGUGAUAUCACAAGCACUUGGAAAUUAGAAGACAGGAUUUGCAAGCUCCUCUUGUUGAGCAAGGAUUGGGUUAUGUCUCUGGAGUCUGGUAAAGGAGCUGCUACAUUCUAUCUGACCAGCAGUGAAGUCAGUUGGUCACAGGAGCUGACUGGGGGAGGAGAGCAGACCUCACUACACAAAGGCUAGGUGAAGCACUGCAAACCUUCUCAAGUCUCAAUGGGACGAGAUAAAAGAAUCUUUGCACCCACUUUGAUUGAACUUCUAGACCAUGCAUUGGGAUUCAUACAAGGAAGAGCAUGAAGGGGAGGAGAGAACACAAGCUACUCAAACCUCUCAAGGCAGAUCUAACAACUCGAGUUCAGUGGCCAGUGCUUUAGCAACGGUGCAGAGGACAUUAAAUUCCUGACUGGAAUUUCCCUCCCAAGAAGGAAGGGCAGAUGCUGCCCCAGGUAACCCCAAAACUACUCCCAGCAUCUGGCAACAACCCAGCUAAUGUCCUAAUUUGGAAACACUGUGGUCUGUCGUGUUUGAAAAGAAUGCACAAGUAAAGCUUACCUGAUGUACCAUU